rfam:Myotis lucifugus cont2.16311, whole genome shotgun sequence.
GGUGGUUCUCGGGUGACGCACCCCGGAAUCAGGCUCCCUCCUCUCUGGUUUCAGGUGAGUCACCCGAGAACCGCA